rnacentral:rRNA from 1 species
UGCUAGUAGAUGACGAGUGGCGGACGGGUGAGUAAUGCUUGGGAACUUGCCUUUGCGAGGGGGAUAACAGUUGGAAACGACUGCUAAUACCGCAUAAUGUCUUCGGACCAAACGGGGCUUCGGCUCCGGCGCAAAGAGAGGCCCAAGUGAGAUUAGCUAGUUGGUAAGGUAACGGCUUACCAAGGCGACGAUCUCUAGCUGUUCUGAGAGGAAGAUCAGCCACACUGGGACUGAGACACGGCCCAGACUCCUACGGGAGGCAGCAGUGGGGAAUAUUGCACAAUGGGGGAAACCCUGAUGCAGCCAUGCCGCGUGUGUGAAGAAGGCCUUCGGGUUGUAAAGCACUUUCAGUUGUGAGGAAAAGUUAGUAGUUAAUACCUGCUAGCCGUGACGUUAACAACAGAAGAAGCACCGGCUAACUCCGUGCCAGCAGCCGCGGUAAUACGGAGGGUGCGAGCGUUAAUCGGAAUUACUGGGCGUAAAGCGCACGCAGGCGGUUUGUUAAGCUAGAUGUGAAAGCCCCGGGCUCAACCUGGGAUGGUCAUUUAGAACUGGCAGACUAGAGUCUUGGAGAGGGGAGUGGAAUUCCAGGUGUAGCG